rnacentral:tRNA from 1 species
AAGAAUUUAGUUUAAUGGUAAAAUAUUAGAUUGUAAAUCUAAAGUUAAUGUUCUUGG